AAUAAAUACACUUGAAACUCGCACAAAGUCAUGUGUCGCAGAGACGUUGAAUAUCAGUAUAAAAUUAUUGCCUUGUGUAUCAAAGAACAGUCUUACAAAAGGUUCGUCGGAUUCAAAAACAAACGCCACCAUGAAAACCAUUGCAUGCUUGAUUGCUGUCGCUCUUGUUACGAUGGUAAUGGCGGAGGAUUGCCCAACCAACAACGUAAAUGCAGAAUGCACCCACAUGACUUGUGCAGACGGUUUUCACAGGGAAUGCGUUAACCAAAUUUGCACGUGCUCAACCAACACAGAAUGCAUGUUACAGACCGACUGCCGUAACACCGCGGAUCGAACCUGCAACAAGAGGUGGCACUGCGUAGACAACAGAUGUCGCUGCUACUGAAGAACCGCAGGAUGCUCAUUCAUAGAAUAAUGUGAUCUGCGUUAAUUGAUGAUGACUUAAAUAAAGUACCGGGGCUAUAAGGUUUGAAAA